CGUUAAAAAUUUCAUCCAUUUCUACUGCUAAAAACUGACGUGUCUAACAAAAUAACUAGAUAGUUACACGUAAUAUGCCACAUGAAUGAGAUAUAGAGACCAGUUUUAACAUUAGAAAUGGAUGAAAUUUUUAACA
rfam:Gossypium hirsutum cultivar TM-1 chromosome 20, whole genome shotgun sequence